rnacentral:rRNA from 1 species
GAUGAACGCUGGCGGCGUGCCUAAUACAUGCAAGUCGAGCGAACGGAUAAGGAGCUUGCUCCUUUGAAGUUAGCGGCGGACGGGUGAGUAACACGUGGGUAACCUACCUAUAAGACUGGAAUAACUUCGGGAAACCGGAGCUAAUGCCGGAUAACAUUUGGAACCGCAUGGUUCUAAAGUAAAAGAUGGUUUUGCUAUCACUUAUAGAUGGACCCGCGCCGUAUUAGCUAGUUGGUAAGGUAACGGCUUACCAAGGCAACGAUACGUAGCCGACCUGAGAGGGUGAUCGGCCACACUGGAACUGAGACACGGUCCAGACUCCUACGGGAGGCAGCAGUAGGGAAUCUUCCGCAAUGGACGAAAGUCUGACGGAGCAACGCCGCGUGAGUGAUGAAGGUUUUCGGAUCGUAAAACUCUGUUAUUAGGGAAGAACAAAUGUGUAAGUAACUGUGCACAUCUUGACGGUACCUAAUCAGAAAGCCACGGCUAACUACGUGCCAGCAGCCGCGGUAAUACGUAGGUGGCAAGCGUUAUCCGGAAUUAUUGGGCGUAAAGCGCGCGUAGGCGGUUUCUUAAGUCUGAUGUGAAAGCCCACGGCUCAACCGUGGAGGGUCAUUGGAAACUGGGAAACUUGAGUACAGAAGAGGAAAGUGGAAUUCCAUGUGUAGCGGUGAAAUGCGCAGAGAUAUGGAGGAACACCAGUGGCGAAGGC